rnacentral:rRNA from 1 species
GACGAACGCUGGCGGCGUGCUUAACACAUGCAAGUCGAACGGAAAGGCCCUGCUUUUGUGGGGUGCUCGAGUGGCGAACGGGUGAGUAACACGUGAGUAACCUGCCCUUGACUUUGGGAUAACUUCAGGAAACUGGGGCUAAUACCGGAUAGGAGCUCCUGCUGCAUGGUGGGGGUUGGAAAGUUUCGGCGGUUGGGGAUGGACUCGCGGCUUAUCAGCUUGUUGGUGGGGUAGUGGCUUACCAAGGCUUUGACGGGUAGCCGGCCUGAGAGGGUGACCGGCCACAUUGGUACUGAGAUACGGCCCAGACUCCUACGGGAGGCAGCGGUGGGGAAUAUUGCACAAUGGGCGGAAGCCUGAUGCAGCAACGCCGCGUGCGGGAUGACGGCCUUCGGGCUGUAAACCGCUUUCGCCUGUGACGAAGCGUGAGUGACGGUAAUGGGUAAAGAAGCACCGGCUAACUACGUG